CUAGGGGUGCUCACCUGAGAAUCUGGAGACAGGUGCUGCAUGGCUGUCGUCAGCUCGUGUCGUGAGAUGUUGGGUUAAGUCCCGCAACGAGCGCAACCCUUGCCUUUAGUUGCCAGCAGUUCGGCUGGGCACUCUAAAGGGACUGCCGGUGUUAAACCGGAGGAAGGUGGGGAUGACGUCAAGUCCUCAUGGCCUUUAUGACCAGGGCUACACACGUACUACAAUGGCCGAUACAAAGGGCAGCGACACUGCGAGGUGAAGCCAAUCCCGUAAAAUCGGUCUCAGUCCGGAUUGGAGUCUGCAACUCGACUCCAUGAAGUUGGAAUCGCUAGUAAUCGUGGAUCAGCAUGCCACGGUGAAUACGUUCCCGGGCCUU
rnacentral:rRNA from 1 species